UACGUAGGGUGCGAGCGUUAAUCGGAAUUACUGGGCGUAAAGCGUGCGCAGGCGGUUUUGUAAGCCAGAUGUGAAAGCCCCGGGCUUAACCUGGGAAUGGCAUUUGGGACUGCAAGGCUUGAGUGCGGCAGAGGAGACUGGAAUUCCUGGUGUAGCAGUGAAAUGCGUAGAUAUCAGGAGGAAUACCGAUGGCGAAGGCAGGCCUCUGGGCUGACACUGACGCUCAUGCACGAAAGCGUGGGGAGCAAACAGG
rnacentral:rRNA from 1 species